CCUACGGGUGGCAGCAGUGAGGAAUAUUGGUCAAUGGACGCGAGUCUGAACCAGCCAAGUAGCGUGAAGGAUGACUGCCCUAUGGGUUGUAAACUUCUUUUAUAUGGGAGUAAAAUGUUCCACGUGUGGGUUUUUGUAUGUACCAUAUGAAUAAGGAUCGGCUAACUCCGUGCCAGCAGCCGCGGUAAUACGGAGGAUCCGAGCGUUAUCCGGAUUUAUUGGGUUUAAAGGGAGCGUAGGUGGUUUGUUAAGUCAGUUGUGAAAGUUUGCGGCUCAACCGUAAAAUUGCAGUUGAAACUGGCAGUCUUGAGUACAGUAGAGGUGAGCGGAAUUCGUGGUGUAGCGGUGAAAUGCUUAGAUAUCACGAAGAACUCCGAUUGCGAAGGCAGCUCACUGGACUGCAACUGACACUGAGGCUCGAAAGUGUGGGUAUCAAACAGGAUUAGAUACCCCUGUAGUC
rnacentral:rRNA from 1 species